AUUGAACGCUGGCGGCAGGCCUAACACAUGCAAGUCGAGCGAGUGGCGGACGGGUGAGUAAUGUCUGGGGAACUGCCUGAUAGAGGGGGAUAACUACUGGAAACGGUGGCUAAUACCGCAUACUAUCGGAUGAACCCAUAUGGGAUUCGCUAGUUGGUGGGGUAAAGGCUCACCAAGGCGACGAUCCCUAGCUGGUCUGAGAGGAUGACCAGCCACACUGGGACGGAGACACGGCCCAGACUCCUACGGGAGGCAGCAGUGGGGAAUAUUGCACAAUGGGCGCAAGCCUGAUGCAGCCAGGCCGCGUGUAUGAAGAAGGCCUUCGGGUUGUAAAGUACUUUCAGUCGGGAGGCGUUACCGACAGAAGAAGCACCGGCUAACUCCGUGCCAGCAGCCGCGGUAAUAC
rnacentral:rRNA from 1 species